GCCAGCGUUGUUUAGUGGUUUGAGUGUUAGACUAUGACUCUGGAGACAAGGUUCAAUUCCUGGCUUGGCC